rnacentral:lncRNA from 1 species
AAAGAAAGGGAACAUAUGCCUAGAACACAGCCUCUUUUACACAUUUCAUAACUACCCUUUUUUCUCCAUUGCAGAAGGCCCUCAUUACCAAACCUUUCUUUCAUUGAACAUUUACUAUGCUAUGCGAUAACUACUUUUAUACACUUUAUUUAAUCUCAAAAGUAUACAGAGUGGCUAUUUUAACACUAGCUUUUGCUGAUGGACCAAUAGAAGGUUAGAAUGUCUAGGUAAUUUGUUUAAGAUCACAUAGUUACCAUAGCACAAUUGGGCGUACUUAUUUUAUUUUUUCCUGUGGAUGCUAUCAAGCCCCAGGCUUUACAUAUAUAGUCAAGUACUCUCUCUGCUACUCCCAGACUAGGAACUUGGAUUUAAACUUGUAUUUGUUGACUUCUAAGGCCAGCAAUCCCAAGUCAUCUUGUUUUCUUUUUAAUAGACAGAACUCAAUUUUAUUUAUUGGCUUGCUGUUUAGCUAGGAGUGGUCAUGAGGUUAGGGACUAAAGACAAAUCUACAAAGUAUAUUUCUAGGUAUGUAUUACUUUAUGUAACAGGUGUAUUUAUGGUAUAGGUCAAAUAAAAAUCUUAUAAAUUAAAUAAUAUUAAACAUAUAAAAAUAAAAAAGGACAUUUUUUUUGGUGGAUCUCUAUGUUCCAGCCAUUGGGAUGGGAAUUUUAUUUGCAAUUUUUCUUCAAGCAGUACCAUGGGUAUAGAUAUUGUUCUAAUGGCUAUUUUGCUAGUGCAAAAACUGGAGAUUAGAGAGUCUAAGUGAUUUGUGUGUGUGUUUUUUUAAAUUAGGUAUUUUCUUCAUUUACAUUUCCAAUGCUAUCCCAAAAGUCCCCCAUGC